AUGUCAAACAGAAAAAUAUAUCGGUAUUCCAUAAUUCCAUUGAUCAAUCAAACAUCAAUUGAGAGCUUUAUACAUUACCUAAGGCAUGCAACAACAAUUGCGCAUAAAACCAAUACAUGUCUACUUUCUUCACAGGGUGAAGAGAGAAAUAUGAAAACUCCAUUCUCCAGUUUCCUGAGUAGUUUGCCAAGGCACAAAAUCAUGAUAAAUUAUAUCAAAUUAGUGCCACGGUAUAUUCCAGAUCUCAACCUUCCACUGAAUCACAGAAAUGCAUGA